GGGCCCGCACAAGCGGUGGAGCAUGUGGUUUAAUUCGAUGAUACGCGAGGAACCUUACCAGGGCUUAAAUGCAGCAUGACAGGUCUGGAAACAGACUUUUUCUUCGGACAUGUUGCAAGGUGCUGCAUGGUUGUCGUCAGCUCGUGCCGUGAGGUGUCAGGUUAAGUCCUAUAACGAGCGCAACCCCCUAUCGUCAGUUGCCAGCGGGUCAUGCCGGGGACUCUGGCGAGACUGCCGGUGCAAACCGUGAGGAAGGUGGGGAUGACGUCAAAAUCGAUCACGGGCCCCUUACGUCCUGGGCCCACACACUGCUACAAUGGUGGGGACAGAGAGCAGCCACUUCGCGAGGAGGAGC
rnacentral:rRNA from 1 species